CGACAAGCACAUAGACAUUUCAAUAUGACAUUGAGGUCAAGACAAUGGAGCUGUUGUUGCCCCGGCAGUUCUCGUCUGCCCAGGCCAAUUACACAAGAACAGGGUUUUUGUGCCAGACAGCGGGUCCAGCGUGGUACAGUGAUAGCGAGGUACAGUCGCAUCUAGCGCAGUAGUUGAUGUCAACCCAACUUAGCAGAGGGGGCGUCCGCUGACCAUGUCACGCCAAGCAAACUUUCCACACCAGGCUAACUAAACUGAGACAGUCGAGAAAGUAUGUACUAUGUACAUUGUACGUGCUUGCCUUUUCUUUGGGAUUAAGAUAUUAACCUGUUUUUUUUUUUUAGCUUUUUUUAUUUAUAUAUAUAUAUUUUUUUAAACUGUACUUUUGUUGGAUUGUGUUGCAUUUGGAGGAUUUUGAAAAGUGUUUCUUGUCAGUUUUCAGAACUAUAUGACUCAACCCAAUGGAUGUCCUACUACAAGCGCUCAGGAAUAAUUGCCUUCAGGUGAGGAAAUUAACUCAAAUGGACUUUAAUAAUGUUGUUCCAGUACAUUAACAGUUUAGUUUUAUACUUCACCCUUUGCCUUGGUCUUUCUGAAAUGCUUUUGAAAUUAUGCUAAAAGUGUAAUGUUACUGAGGUGCGGCCAUUGUGAAACUGCUUCUUGGAAGAAGGGCGCCACAGACAGUGAGGGUUUAUUGUUUGGACAGUCUUCUCACCAUUACUUUGACCUUUUAAACAAGUGUGUCAAGGACGUAUUCAUUGGAAAAAGUAUUUCACUACGCCCAGCAGAACGGCGUGAUUAAUGUUUAGUCAUGUCUUUCUGUUAAAGUAUAUGUGUGUAUUUGUGCGUGUGUGUGUGUGUGUGUGUGUGUGUACGGGUCUACUGACAGUGAAGGAUCAGAUGGGCUCAACGUGUUCUACGUGAGCAAGUUCUCCGCCCCAGCAACUGUUGCCUUGGAGAUACAGAAUUCCAAGCCGGACAGGUUGCAGAGACGACUACCCUUCACCAACAAGUUCUUGUACAACAAGAAUGAGGAGCGGUACUA
ensembl:lncRNA